UUAUGCGGCUAUUUUUUCUAUGAUCUGUAAUCUAUGUUAAAUGGCAGCUCCAGCGGCGGCAUCGGGCGUGAAGGGCAUGCGAUGGUGAACACCCUCAAGUGCCCUCUGUUUAUACCAGGGAGACAAGCUGGAGCUCGAUGAGCUCGAAUUACAUGAUGAGAACAUGACGUAAUCUCUUCAUGAGGGAGAGAAUAACGUUCAAUUAGUAGCAACAAGACGCGGUUCAUCAAUUGUGGAAGACAAGUGUAUGUAGUAUGUACCCGCACCUGUAAUAUGUAUUGAUUAUUCAUUCGGCUUCAAUUGGUUUUUGUUUUGUUACAUGAACAAGAAAUUAAGACACUUGAGAGUUGAGAA